ensembl:rRNA predicted gene, 25164
GUCUAUGGCCAUAUUGCCCUGAGUGUACCUGACCUUGUUUGUCCUUAGAAGCCGAGCAAGAUUAGACCUGCUUAAUACUUGGAUGGGAGACCUAGGAAUACUGGGUGCUGUAGGCU